CGCCCAAGGGGUCAUGGGGCAUGGCUGGAAAGCCGCCCAUGACAGCACUUACGUCAUAAGAAAAGAAUUCAACCUGCCGACAUAAGCGCUUACGUCAUAAGAAAAGAAUUCAACCUGCCGACUUAAGCGCUUACGUCAUAAGAAAAAAAUUUAAAGAUGAAUUCUUCCACCUAUUAUUUUUCUUCUCUUUUGACUUUUCUUUUUUUUGAUUGCCCUCUUCUCCUUGACUUUAAUCUGCCACGACCAUGACUUUGUCGUCUUUGGUUGCUUCUCCCCUACUUCCGGUAUUAAAAGCAGAUCCUGUGGAAUCACUUGAUUCUCUUCGACGAAUAUCUUCGCUUAGAACCAAUGUCCUGACUUCGUCAUCAAAUGUUAUAUUAACAGAACUCAAUUGAGUUAAUAUUAUAUUAAACUUAUUGAUAUGUUCCGUGACAGAUCCACCGUCUAUCAUCUUUAAGUUGAACAAUCGACGCAUCAAAUAGACUUUACUUGAAGCAGAUGACUUCUCGUACAUAUUUGAUAACGCCUUCAUCAGGCAUCAGUGGUCUUUUCAUUAAUGAUGUUAAACGCCACAUUUCGUGUUAGCGUCAAACGAAUCACACCAAGAGCUUGGCGAUCUAGUAGAUCCCAAUCCGCUUUGGCCAUAUUUUUCUGGUUUUUACCUCGAUCAGAGGUAAGUGUAAUUUUUUCUAGUACAAAUAAUCCUCUAUUUGCAUUUUUCAGAAUCCAAAAUCUUUGCCCUUGAACUUGUCAAUCUUAACCUUCCCUUCUUCCGAUGCCAUUUUCACACAAAAAAGUUAUGUGAAUAGUGCAUGUGAAUAGUAACAACAAUACUAUUUCGUGUAAGAAAAAAUAUUCCAAAUGUAUAAGGUAGACAACAAUCACUGUUGGUGAAUAAUAUUAUCACUAUCAAUGGAUAAUGUUAGAAAUGAUGAUCAAUAGUGUCGCACUAUUCUUGUGAAUAGUACCUGCACCAAUACCGUGCUUUUCUGCCAGAAUUACACUAUCUGUGCUCUGAUACCAAUUGUUGGGAAGCGUGUCAGGCUAGUAGAAGGGAAAAAAUAUUUAAAAGAGAAAAGCAAUAAAUUUUACAAGACAAGACAAGACAAGACAAGACAAGAUUUACGUGGUUCAGUAAUUUUUGCCUAUUCCACAGCCACACAAAGAAUAACUUUUUAUUAAUUGAAGAGAAAGAAGAAGUUGAGGGAUCAUCUGCAAGUGAAAAUGCAAACCCCUUUUAUAGGCAUUUAAAUUCCCUACCAUGUAAGCACUUACGUUAUAAGAAAAGAAUUCAACCUGCCGACAUAAGCACUUACGUCAUAAGAAAAGAAUUCAACCUACCGACGUAAGUUCUUACGUCAUAAAAAAAGAAUUCAAAGAUGAAUUCUUCCGCCUAUCAUUUUUCUUCUCUCUUUGACUUUUCUUUCUUUCACAUACAGCAACAGGUUUGCUCCUAUCAUAUCUCUCAGUCGAUGGAUAUAAAUUCUUUUUCUCAUCUCCCUAAAGUGAGUCAUCUAUGAUUCUUCAAUACAACCUGUUAUUCUUUCUAAUGUUCCGAGCUUUGUUGGUGUAUACUUGGACAUUUAACUCUGUUUUAUUGAUACCCUCUAGUUGUCUUGUAAAUUAUCCGUGAAGUAACUCUACCUUGGUUUGAAUGCACUGCUCUUGAAUUCACGGCAUUAGAGUUAGUUGUUGCUAUAUCAUCUGGAUUACUCGCAGUCUUCUAGCUUAGUGUCACUUACAGUGGAAGAUUAUAUGCAAAAUUUAUCAGUCGAGAAAAAGCUUAUCACACUUUAGAACUGUAUGGAAUAUUCUGAUAGUUACACCAGAAUCUGAAAUUCAUCUGAAAUAUCCCUCAGAAGAAGGAUAGAAAUUCUUUUUCUCAUCCCCUAAUGUGAGUCAUCUAUGGUGCUUCAAUAUCUCUCAGACGAUGGAUAGAAAAUCCUUUUCUUAUCUCCCUUAAAGUGACUCUAUGGCGCUUCAGUGUACGACCUGUUACUCUUUCUUUUAUUCCAGGCUUUGUUGGUGUACACUUGCACUUUUAUUGUAACUUCCUCUGGUUGUCCUGUAAAUUAUCCGCAAAGUACUUUUUCCGAUGAUUUCGAUUCACUGCUCUUGAUGUCACGGCCUAGUUAUAUAAAGAUUGUGGUUGUGAAAGAAUAUUCAGUUGUCGCUUGCAUAAAAGUUGGAGAACUUCCAACCAAAAUGUCACUUUACCAGAUGUUUAUCUUGCUGGGACCGUGAUGUUAAUAUUUGGGAUGGGCUUGUAUGGAUUGUUCAUCACUAAUGUCUCUCCUGAUGUGCAUCCAAGCAGUGAUCGUGCCCUCAAGCAGUCUUCCUUGUUUGGGAUGUUUGCUCUGAAGGAGAGGCCAAAAUGGAUGAAGAUCAGUUCGCUCGAUGAACUAAAAACCAAAGUAGGACAUGUAAUUGUCAUGAUCCUUCUUGUCAAGAUGUUCGAGAGGAGCAAGAUGGUGACUAUAGCCACUGGUACUGAUCUGUUGAGCUACUCAGUGUGUAUCUUCUUGUCUUCUGCUUCCUUGUAUAUUCUCCAUAAUCUGCACAAGGAGUAAUAGUUGACAUGUACUAUACUCAUGUAUGUAUGUAUAGCCAAGUAAUCAAACUUUUGAAGCUAAAAAAAAGGCAGUCAGGUACAUUGCUGUUUC